rnacentral:rRNA from 1 species
UACAGAGGGGGCAAGCGUUGUUCGGAAUUACUGGGCGUAAAGGGCGCGUAGGCGGCCGCCUAAGUCAGACGUGAAAUCCCUCGGCUCAACCGGGGAACUGCGUCUGAUACUGGAAGGCUUGAAUCCGGGAGAGGGAUGCGGAAUUCCAGGUGUAGCGGUGAAAUGCGUAGAUAUCUGGAGGAACACCGGUGGCGAAGGCGGCAUCCUGGACCGGUAUUGACGCUGAGACGCGAAAGCGUGGGGAGCAAACAGG